ACGGGGACCCGCACAAGCAGCGGAGCGUGUGGUUAAUUCGUUGCUACACGAAGAACCUUACCUGGGUUGACAUAUAGGUUGUAGGGAACUGAAAAGGGACCGACCCUUCGGGGAGCCUAUUACAGGUGUUGCAUGGCUGUCGUCAGCUCGUGUCGUGAGAUGUUCGGUUAAGUCCGCUAACGAGCGCAACCCUCGUCGUAUGUUAUAUGUGUCAUACGAGACUGCCGGUAAAAAGCCGGAGGAAGGUGAGGAUGAUGUCAAGUCAGCAUGACCUUUAUAUCCAGGGCUACACACACGCUACAAUGGUCUGUACAAUGGGUAGCCAAGCCGCGAGGCGGAGCCAAUCCUGAAAGCAGGCCUCAGUUCGGAUUGGAGUCUGCAACUCGACUCCAUGAAGUUGGAAUCGCUAGUAAUCGCGUAUCAGCAUGACGCGGUGAAUACGUUCCCGGGCCUU
rnacentral:rRNA from 1 species